GCGCAGCAGGCGAGAAACUUUACAAUGUGCGAAAGCACGAUAAGGGAACUCUGAGUGCCUCCUAAGGAGGCUGUUCAGGUGUCUAAAAGCACCUGGAGUAAGGGCUGGGUAAGACCGGUGCCAGCCGCCGCGGUAACACCGGCAGCCCAGGUGGUAGCCACUUUUAUUGGGUCUAAAGCGUCCGUAGCCGGUUGAGUAAGUUCCUUGGGAAAUUUGGCUGCUCAACAGUCAAGCUUCCAGGGAAUACUGCUCGACUUGGGACUGGGAGAGGUCAGAGGUACUCCAGGGGUAGGGGUGAAAUCCAUUAAUCCCUGGGGGACCACCGGUAGCGAAGGCGUCUGGACCAGACCAGGUCCGACGGUGAGGGACGAAGGGCUAGGGUCGCGAACCGGGAUUAGAUACCCCCGUAGU
rnacentral:rRNA from 1 species